CUUGAACUGAGGUGUCAGGGGUCGCCAUUGCACUCUGAGAACUCUGGACCGAAUUGCUGAGCGUGAGGCCUCUGCACACGGCUUCCUGUGAACAAAUCAAACCAGACUAAGCCAACAGAAACGAGAAAAAGAAAAUGGAGAAGUACAAGCUUGAGUUCUGGAGGACAAGCUCUCCUGAGAGGCGUACAGUCCAGCUGCUUCAUAUUGUUCCCUUCAGCGGGGACAGGGCUGGAGUUCUGGGAGUGGUGUGGAGUUGUGCUGCUCAGUUCCAGGCUGCCUGUCUUCAUCAUGCUGUUUGUCAAGAAAUAAAACUAAUUUUGAAAUUGUGCUAUUAAUUUUCCUGUUCCUUUACCCCAUGAAAAAAUGUUGUUAUAAAGCUAUAGCUGUUUUUUAACAAAAGUAGAAAAUAUUUUAUUUAACAGUUUGUAGUUUUGUUUUUUGUAUCUUUUAUAUUUGGACAAGCUGGAUCUAAUUAUGUAACAGAGCCCUCACCAUUUUUCAGCAUACAGUUUUUCGUAUAGGACUGAGAGGAAAUCAGGGGGCUUCCCAGGUGGCAGUAAUGGUAAACAACCAACCUGUCAGUGCGGGAGACAUAAGAGAAGCAGGUUCGAUCCCUAGGUGGGGAAGAUCCCCUGGAGAUGAGCAUGGCAACCCACUCCAGUAUUCUUGUCUGGAGUAUCCCACGGACAGAGGAACCUGCCAGGCUACAGUCCAUGAGGUCGAGAGUCGGACACGACUGAAGUGACUUAGGGGCAGCGGCAGCAGAGAAUAAAUUACUGGUUUAGAUGAGUAGUUUUAUAACCAGACACAGUGUGCAGCAAUGAGCAUAAUGUAGUCAGUCUCUAUGCUAAUCAAAACAUAGAAUGUUUUCAUGCUACAUAUGAAAAAGGGAGAGAGAAUGGUGAAAUCUAAUGCAUACUAUGAUGUGUUCUUUUUCUUUCUUUUAUUGGGAAUGGGGGAACAGAAAACCACAUUUUAUUAAAGAGGUUUAAAUUUGUUAUGUAACUUGUAACAGUGAUCUAUGACCACUAUAUGGCUGGAUAGCAUGCUCCCUAAUAUUUGGUGGCUUAAUACAAGUCUAGGCCUAGGGACGUGAAAGAGAAGUAAUGAGGAUUCCAGAGCUGCACUAGUAGUUUAAAGAGAAGCCCCAGAAGCUAUGAUGUUUUCUUAAAGUAGGGGGUGCGUGCAUGCUCAGUCAUGUCCAGCUCUUUGUGACCCCAUGGACUGUAGCCCACAAGGCUCUUCUGUCUAUGGAAUUUUCCAUGCAAGAAUACUGAAGUGGGUUGCCAUUUUCUACUCCAGGGUAUCUUCCCAAACCAAGGAUCAAACCUGCACCUCUUGCAUCUCCUUGGUAGAUGAAUUCUUUACCACUGAGCCACUGCCACAUAUAGCAAAAUGGCUCUCUUUUCCUCAUAGUUAGCAAAGAACUCAUCUAUGCAUAAAAUGAAAAUCUAAUUAAAUUUCUAAUAAGUGCACCUAUGUAAGUGACUACUAUGGAGAAAUCAUAAUAUGGUUCAUUAAGAAGGUAUUGUGGAACUUUCUGUAAACAAUAGGAUGGAAUAACUUUAGAAAUAACACUUUACUUUGUAUGUAGAAGGAAGUUAAAAGCUUCAGCCAGUGCUCUGUAAUUAAAUAGUGUUAAUGCCAGAUUCCUAAUAUAAGGAGCUUUCUGCUAUAAUCACUCCCAAAUGGCUGAU
ensembl:lncRNA